UCCGCGCGGAGUCCCGCGGGGGUCUGCUGGGGAAGGCCCGGCUGUGCUUCUCCGACUCCGUCCCGGCUCUGAGCCCGGCUCCCCGGCAGUGCAGGAAGCGUUUGCUGGGGCGGAGGCACCGAGUGGAGAAACACCUAACAGGUGUGACUGCAAGCUGGAUCUCCCGGUGCCCUGCAGCGCUGGCCGUGGCAGAGUGGCGCCCAACAUGGGGCUGAAAGAGAAGGUCCCCCACGAGCCGAACAGAGAAAAGAAAAAUGAAGGUCUGCUACGAAUGAACGAAGAAACAAGGAAGGUCUGCCUAAAGCAGGAAAAGGCGAAACUGCCGACGGUGGAAACGGUAGCCUGGCACUCGACGGAGUCGCGACCAUGAGUGGGAGAAGCUGGAAGCUAGAACUGUCUCCUGGUGGUGUGGUGCUGAGCUGGGGAAAGGGACUAAGGUACUCUGAUACUUGAAGAUCCAGCAUGUGGCAGAUGCUUACUAUGGAUGCCCUUCCAGAUUGUACGAACACAUCUAGGGAACUCUCAAACCAUGGCUUCCAAAAACAACAUCAGGAGUUCCUGUCGUGGCUCAGUAGAAACAAAUCUAACUGGAAUCAAUGAGGACCCAAGUUUGAUCCCUGAUUUCGCUCAGUGGGUUAAGGAUCUGGCAUUGCCAUGAGCUGUGGUGUAGGUCACAGAUGUGGCUCGGAUCUGGAGUUGCUGUGGCUGCAGCAGAGGACAGUGGCGACAGCGCAAUUCGACCCCUAGCCUGGGAACCACCAUAUGGUGUGGGUGCAACCCUAAAAAGACACACACACACACACACACACACAAUAAAAAACAACACCA
rnacentral:lncRNA from 1 species